rnacentral:rRNA from 1 species
GGGAUACAGCGGGGGCGGGGGUUGGGUCUGCGUAGGGUGCAGGGGUGUGCUGGAGUGAUUGGACGUAGAAGGCUCGGAUGUGGGGUGUCGCUGCGGCAGGGGAAAAGGAAGGCUCAAGCUGGGGGGUGAAGGGGGUACGGGCGAACUAGAGUGCAGUAGGGGAGUCUGGAAUUCCUGGUGUAGCGGUGAAAUGCGCAGAUAUCAGGAGGAACACCGGUGGCGAAGGCGGGACUCUGGGCUGUAACUGACGCUGAGGAGCGAAAGCAUGGGGAGCGAACAGGAUUAGAUACCCGAGUAGUC